AUUGAACGCUGGCGGCAUGCCUAACACAUGCAAGUCGAACGAGUGGCGGACGGGUGAGUAAUGUCUGGGAAACUGCCCGAUGGAGGGGGAUAACUACUGGAAACGGUAGCUAAUACCGCAUACCAUCGGAUUUGCCCAGAUGGGAUUAGCUAGUAGGUGGGGUAAAGGCUCACCUAGGCGACGAUCCCUAGCUGGUCUGAGAGGAUGACCAGCCACACUGGAACUGAGCCACGGUCCAGACUCCUACGGGAGGCAGCAGUGGGGAAUAUUGGACAAUGGGGGCAAGCCUGAUGCAGCCAUGCGGCGUGUAUGAAGAAGGCCUUAGGGUUGUAAAGUACUUUCAGCGGGGAGGCGGUACCCGCAGAAGAAGCACCGGCUAACUACGUGCCAGCAGCCGCGGUAAUUC
rnacentral:rRNA from 1 species